rnacentral:misc_RNA from 1 species
AAUACAACUAGUAACGCACACAGACGCACUCCGUACUCAAAACACGCCGCCAUCCACGAAAAGCACGUACAGACACGCAGAUUACGCGAUUUCUUCGUCUUCUUUACCCUCCCUUUCCGUUUUGGUUUCGGGUUUGUUGUUUCGAUUAUUUGUUAUUUCUCACAUCGAAGACACGGUGCGUCACACAGUUUUUCGUUUUCCUUUAAAGAAGAAAAAGAACAGAAAAAAAGUACCCCUCUCCUUUCCUCUCCCCUCCCCUCCCACCACCAUCACAGACGCUCUCCUUAUCAUUCCCGCUUCUCUUUGGGCAUAAAAAAAGUGUGAAAAGGACACCCCAAUUUUUUUCAGUUUUUUUUUUCGGUUCUUUGGCUUUUGAUGUGUAUUUGUGCUGAGCUGCUACGACGCGAAACGGGUCCCACCUCCGCACACACGCACGGCGCAGAGCACUCCACAUAAGAGAGAGGGACAACUAGCGCUGCUGUCUCUCCGCAGCGCGCACCUCCACGCACACGCGCAUACACACCUUGUCGUCUCUGGUGUGGGAGUUCGUUUGCCUGCCCUCUCGCGUGUAGUGAGGGAGCGGUGUGUAAGCCUCCACAAAAGCGGCGGGGAAAGAGACGAUAUCAGGCGGUAACGGUCUCUCUUUUCUAGCCUUUUUUUUGUUUCUUUUAUUGGCACCAGCAGAACGCGUGUGACGGAGCGCGCGUGCACGACGCGACGAAGACGGAUCACGCUUCCUCGCAGCCGCACAACAGAAGCGUCUUCUUUUUCUUUCUCAGUUGCUUUCCACAAGAACCCACAGGCGUCCGCGUGAUCGGCAAGGGAGAACGAUUUUCAGCGACCUUCACUUCUGACCUUUUCGUGAAGUGUCGUGGUAUUUAGAUCGCUUGGCAGCCCUAUCAUCUCUUGCCGUCGCAGAAAGAGUGAGAGAGACGAACCCAUCGCACACACAUCUGCCAUCGUGAGCGGCUUCAGCCGAGACGGAGCAUCGGCUCAUCGUUUUUCUUUCUGAUAUAUCUCAUCGCUUUGAAGAGACUUUCGUUCCUCUUGCCCCCCUUUUUUUUUCCCGCUGAUCAUGAAGCGCAUCAGCGCCACCGAGCUGCAGGGCAACGUGCUCAAGCUGCCGCGUCUGCCCAUUCCGUCGGUCGCGGCCACCAUGGACGGGUACCGCUCAUCGCUGCGUGCACUAUGGUCACCCGAGGUGACGGCGCCGCACCUAGCCAAGCUGGACGCCUUCGUUAACUCCUCCGCCCCUGUGCUGCAGAGGCAUCUGGUGGACGCGGACAUGACCGCCGCCGAGUCGGGCAAGGCGCCGUUCACGUACGUGGAGGGCCUCUUGGCACAGUCGGCGCUCAACAGCCGUUCCCCACAAGAGGUGAAUAUGAACGCUAGCUUUGUUCUGCAGCAGGACAUCGCCGGGGCGGAUAGGACGCAGGCUGGAGUGGCAUCGGCCCUCACCUACGGUAUCGCGUGCUGGAUUCAGGAACUUCGGACGAAUGGUCUCUCCGUCCCGGCUGAUCCGGCGGCGCAGUACGACGUGUCGCCGCUCCUCACCGAGUUUGGCCGUAGCCUCAUUCCAUCCAAGGAGACGGAUCUGCUACAUACCACGCCACUGGAGAAGCUAAGCCACAUCAUAGUACUGCACGAUGGCCACCCUUACAUGGUCCGCGUCUUUGACGAGCACGAGCGCGUGCUCGAUCGCAGAUUGAUCCAGAAAGCCUUCGAGCUGAUCCUCACCAUCACUCCCGACCAGGACAAUACGUCUCCUGUGUCGGUGCUGACGGCUGGUAGCCGCGCUGUGUGGGGCCAGGCGUACCAAGAGCUCCUCAAGACCCCCGAAAACGCCGAGGUGCUGCGCCUCUUCCACGAAAGCAUCCUGGUGGUGUGUCUCGACAGCAUGAAGUGGGGCAACGACGAGAGUCUGGCGGAGGCCUCGGCUCUGCACGGCAGCAAGGAGGAGCUGGAGAACCGCUGGUACGACAAGCAUCAGAUGAUCGUCUCCGAGGAUGGGCAGGUGGCGUUCAACUUCGAUUCGACAUCGAGCGACCGCGUGCACUGGGCCAAGUGGAUAGGCGACGUACUCUCUAUCCUCAAAGAGAGGGGUGCUAGCGGAGGGUCGACGGAUGGCAUCGACGGUGUUGCCGUGAGCCGCAUCGUGCGCCACCUGAGCGUGACAUACGGCAAGUCGUUCGUUUCUCACAUCCGCGCGGCACGCCAGGAGGCGCUGGCGAUUGUGACGGACACCGAGGUGCAUUCCAUUCACCUUCCCUGUGGCAGGGUGCAGCUGUCCGCGCUAAAGGUGGAGCCGGAUGCGUUUGUGCAGAUGUGCCUGCAGUUAGCCAUGUAUAAGAUGCGCAACAAGCUGUACAGCACGACGGAGGUGUGCAGCACGGCCGGCUUCUUUCACGGCACCACGGAGCUGGUGCAUACGACGUCCGAGGAGAUGCUGGCGCUAGCGAAAAACCUCGCGCAGCUUCAGCAGGACGGCGAGCACGCCGCGGCGCUGGACACGAACGGCAAAGAAAUGCUCACUAAGCUAAUCCGCGCUACGAGCGACCGACACGUCGCCCUCACAGCUGCCGCAUCGCGUGGCGAGGGAUACGACCGCCACCUUAUGGCUCUACGCCACGUCGCGCGGAUCAACGGUGACAAGGCCGCGCUUGCCUUCUUUGAAGACGACUUGUUCCUCAAGACGAGCAGGUCGGUGCUGAGCACCAGCGAGUUUAGCCAGCCGUGGCUGCGGUACUACACUUUUGGCCCCAUGCAGAGCAACGGCUACGGUCUCGGGUACGUGAUCGAUGAGCAGGAGGUGCGUAUUUCUCUCUCCGCCUUUACGAACAGCCCGACAACGAACGUGGCGGACCUGAAGGCGGCUCUGAUGCUGUCUUGCAACACCCUCUGCGAGGUGCUUGGAGGCGCGCCAGCCGCAAACACCGCUGCAGCAGAAGCCACAAAAUGAGCGCCUUGCAACGAAAAAGAGGGUGAGGGAGGGGAGGGGGCUCGAGGCGUAGAGGGACAGGGGAGCAUCCGACGCCUAUGAAUGAGAGACAGACGAGAGGCUGGGCGCGCGCACUUGAUCGCCACAACCCCCUCCCCCCAACCAAACCCACACGGAAAUUCAGCCAGCACAGCGAGACGCAAAUUCAGCCUUCUUUCCUCUUGUUUUCCGCUGCCCAGGACGCGCCACCUCGCCCGCUGAUCUCGCGCUCUCUUUUGCGCAGCGUUUCUUCAUUGCUGGUCAUGAUUCUCUUCGUUCUGUGCGUUGCUAUACACACACGGAUUACAGGCAGCCCCCUCCCCUCCCCCUUCUUCCCCCUCUCCCGCCUCUCUACACAAAGCACGGCAACCAUUGCUCGCAGCAACCCACAAGCAGAGAGAUAAGGGUCAUGGUCGUGGUGGUGGGGAAACACAACAAUCAGUGCGAACAUUGUUGCUCGAGAACGGACCUGUGUUAGUGUAUCGUGGGGGGGAGGGGGCGAUUCGCAGGGUGUCUGGCCCGAGUUGGCAACAUUCAUCCUCCCCGCUCCUCCCACCGCGAGCAUAGCUCUGUUCUGGUGCUCUCUGUCUCUCUGUCUUCCGCCCCUUUUCUUGUCGUCUUGUUUGCCCUCCUCCUUCGCCUUUGUGGAGGGUAUGUGUGAAUAUCGCCAGUUCACCUUCUCGUACGCCCCGCCCUUCUCCCUUCCAGUUGUCCCCCUUCCGCGUUUCGCCUGUGCGAUCUUCUGUUUGUUUUGUGUGGCUGACUUUCUCGAGCGCCUCCUUGUCGAAAAUGUUUUCUUUGUGUGCGCGUGAGCGCAUAGAAAGAGCCCAGGAAGAGGUGGCCCACGAGGAAAAAGGGGGGGGGGACAAGCCGAAUCGGUUUCUUUGCGCUCUACCCUCCACCCUCCCUCCCCCCUCGGCAUCACUUUUCUUCGCAAGCGUCUCCGCACCUCUGCGUACUUGGGUCGGUGCGUCUCUGUCUAUGUCAGUGUUUCACAUUUUUCUGUUAUUUGUCAUGGCGCGGUGUGUGUGUGUGUGUGCGUGUGCUAGUGAGCUGCUUUUCUUAUUUCUCUUGGUACGGUCGUUUUCGUCACUCUCUUUCUCUCAGUAGCCUUGCUGAAAAAAGGUUAACGUGUUAGCGUUUGUGUGGUGAUGUCGCUGAUGUUGGUUUCUUCGCCUUACCGUCGGCCCACUUUGCACCUCUCCUUGUUUUUGUUUCCCUAUGGGCGCUCUUUUGCAUCGUAUGUUCCGACGCCCACCCUUUCUUUUUUUUUUUUGGUUGAGACUUGCUUGUGCUUCAUCUCCCUUCCUCUUAUUAACGUCUCUCUCUUCGUGUGUGUCUGUAUGUGUUUGUGUUCCUUCUCUACGCAGCAGCCGACACGGGGAUGUUACCUCCUCCUCUUCUCUGCCUGUUAGGGGGAGCAUUUCUUUUUUUUUUGUCCUUUGUGGCGUGGCUCUCGCGUCUAUUUGAGGUGAGGGAGAGGGGAUGUAUGGUGUGCGAGUAGCAGGGCAGGGCGCGUGCUGCUGGGCUUGCCUGUAUGUGAAGUGUUCGUCUUUGAUUGGUGUGUCCGUUGUUUCUUCUCCAUAAUCUACUCAAGCCAGCUUCACUUUUGUGGCUUGGUGUACUCUGCAGUGAGUGAGAUUAGGGCACGCUGUAUGUGCCCUCUGAAGUAGGUCUCUAAAGGGAUACCGAUCGGUUGGGGAAGGGGACGCUGCCGGUAGUCUGUCGUUUUGGCGUGCACCUUCGCUGAGGCCAACGGCGCGGCCGGGCCGAAUGGGGAGGUUGGGAGUAGCUGGAGACGCGGAACGAAGAGGGACAAGAGCGUACGAACGCUGUUUUUUCUUUUGAGUCAAUGCCGCUUACGAGCAGCCGCUGGCUUCCGCUGAAGGGAGCCAUCACGCCACCAAUAGGGCACGUGUUUCCGGGUCUUGCUCAAGGGGCCUCUUUCACGUUCUCCCACGGACACUGCUUACGAGUCUGUUUCUCUCUUGUUUUUCGUUCGCCUCUCUUCCGCUCGCACGUCCCCCCCUCUCUCACCCUCGUAG